rnacentral:rRNA from 1 species
GUGGGGAAUAUUGGACAAUGGGCGAAAGCCUGAUCCAGCCAUGCCGCGUGUGUGAAGAAGGUCUUCGGAUUGUAAAGCACUUUAAGUUGGGAGGAAGGGCAGUAAGUUAAUACCUUGCUGUUUUGACGUUACCGACAGAAUAAGCACCGGCUAACUUCGUGCCAGCAGCCGCGGUAAUACGAAGGGUGCAAGCGUUAAUCGGAAUUACUGGGCGUAAAGCGCGCGUAGGAGGUUUUGUAAGUUGGAGGUGAAAUCCCCGGGCUCAACCUGGGAACUGCCUCCAAAACUGCAUGACUAGAGUACGGUAGAUGGUAGUGGAAUUUCCUGUGUAGCGGUGAAAUGCGUAGAUAUAGGAAGGAACACCAGUGGCGAAGGCGACUACCUGGACUGAUACUGACACUGAGGUGCGAAAGCGUGGGGAGCAAACAGGAUUAGAUACCUCGGUAGUCC